rnacentral:rRNA from 1 species
UAGGGAAUCUUCCGCAAUGGGCGAAAGCCUGACGGAGCAACGCCGCGUGAGUGAUGAAGGUCUUCGGAUCGUAAAACUCUGUUAUUAGGGAAGAACAAAUGUGUAAGUAACUAUGCACGUCUUGACGGUACCUAAUCAGAAAGCCACGGCUAACUACGUGCAAGCAGCCGCGGUAAUACGUAGGUGGCAAGCGUUAUCCGGAAUUAUUGGGCGUAAAGCGCGCGUAGGCGGUUUUUUAAGUCUGAUGUGAAAGCCCACGGCUCAACCGUGGAGGGUCAUUGGAAACUGGAAAACUUGAGUGCAGAAGAGGAAAGUGGAAUUCCAUGUGUAGCGGUGAAAUGCGCAGAGAUAUGGAGGAACACCAGUGGCGAAGGCGACUUUCUGGUCUGUAACUGACGCUGAUGUGCGAAAGCGUGGGGGUCAAACAGG